UUUACACUGCGAGAUAGCCUGCCUGUCAAGUACAUGCCGAAUGAAGGCGAAACCGCGAAUGGCUCAUUAAAUCAGUUAUGGGUCCUUGGAUCGUACCUUACUACUUGGAUAACUGUGGCAAUUCUAGGAGCUAAUACAUGCAGCAGAGCUCCGACCUUCGGGGACGAGCGCUUUUAUUAGACCAAAACCAAUCGGACCUCUGGUCCGUAGACUGUGGUGACUCUGUAUAACUUUGGGCUGAUCGCACGGGCCCGUCCCGGCGACGUAUCUUUCAAGUGUCUGCCUUAUCAACUUUCGAUGGUAGGUUACGCGCCUACCAUGGUCGUAACGGGUAACGGGGAAUCAGGGUUCGAUUCCGGAGAGGGAGCCUGAGAAACGGCUACCACAUCCAAGGAAGGCAGCAGGCGCGCAAAUUACCCACUCCCAGAACGGGGAGGUAGUGACGAAAAAUAACAAUACGGGACUCAUUUGAGACCCCGUAAUUGGAAUGAGUACACUCUAAAUCCUUUAACGAGGAUCCAUUGGAGGGCAAGUCUAGUGCCAGCAGCCGCGGUAAUUCUAGCUCCAAUAGCGUAUAUUAAAGUUGUUGCGGUUAAAAAGCUCGUAGUUGGAUCUCAGUUCCAGACGGGUGGUCCGCCUACCGGUGGUUACUGCCUGUUCUGAACAGCCAGCCGGUUUCUCUUGAUGAUCUUCACCGGUUGUCUUGGGUGACCGGCAAGUUUACUUUGAAAAAAUUAGAGUGCUCAAAGCAGGCGCGACGCCUGAAUAAUGGUGCAUGGAAUAAUGGAAUAGGACCUCGGUUCUAUUUUGUUGGUUUUCGGAACACGAGGUAAUGAUUAAGAGGGACAGACGGGGGCAUUCGUAUUGCGACGCUAGAGGUGAAAUUCUUGGACCGUCGCAAGACGAACUACUGCGAAGCUUUUGCCAAGAA
rnacentral:rRNA from 1 species